GUGAAGAGACUGGUUGCCAUGUGAUCUCCCAGGAGGAAUGGACACGGCAGAAGUACAUCCUCGUAAAGGUCUGCAGGCAUCUAGUCCUACUUAGUUCUUUGAACUUGGCUGGUGAAGAUACUACAAGCAAUGAGUGACAAGGCCAGUAUCUAGACAUUUGUGGAUACUGGGGAGCAAUGCCCAGACGAAGGGGAGGAAACCAAGAAGAGUGCUGGGGAAAUAACCAGGACAUCAGCAACAAUGUUUCAUUAAGCAAAUUAAUUGACGAUCUGGAAGUAGUUAAAAGAGAAAGAGGAGACAUGGACAGUAUAGAAGAGACACCUUGUGACAAUCUCUGCUUACAAAAGCUUGAAGGACUCUUCAGAGAAAGUUUCAAUCCCCGCUAGACUUCAGCUGCCACCGACUGUGCAGGGACAAAAGGAGAGCAAUCCAGGCACUUGGUG